UCGGGGAUCGUCUAACGGUAGGACGCCUGAUUUACCCUCGGUGCUAUCCCGGUUCGAAUCCGGGUCCCCGAACCA
rnacentral:tRNA from 1 species